AUGAUGAAGGUAAAGGCAAGAGUCAAUGAUUAGGCCAUAUUGGGCACCUUAUUGUUAGGGCUGCUUUUAAGUAUGGUAAAGUGAAUAUUGUCACCAUCAGUGACCACUUCAUUGACAUCAACUAUGUGGUCUACAUAUUCCGGUAUGAUUCUACCCAUGGCAAAUUCCAUGGCACUGUCAAGGCUGAGAAAAGAAAGCCUGUCAUCAAUAGAAAUCCCAUCACCACUUCCAGGAGCGAGAUCCCUCCCAAAUCAAAUGGGGCAAUGCUGGCACUGAGUAUGUUGUGGAAUCCACUGGUAUCUUCACCACCAUGGAGAAGCCAGGGGCUCACUUUCAGGGAGGAGUCAAAGAGUCAUCAUCUCUGUCUCCUCUGCUGGCACCCCCAUGUUUGUGAUCAGCCCAAACCCUGAGAAGCACAAAGGUUGUCAACAAUGCCUCCUGUGCCACCAACUGCUUAGUGGCCCCAUUGGCCAAGGUAAUCCAUGACAAUUUUGGUAUCAUGGAAGGACCCAUAUUCACAGUAACUGCCAUCACUGCUACCCAGAAGACUGUGGAUGACCCCUCUGGGAAGCUGUGGUGUGACACCCAUGGGGCUCUCCAAAACAUUCUCUCUGUCUCUACAGACACUGCCAAUGCUGUGGGCAAGAUCAUUUCUAAGCUGAAUGGGAAAUUCACUAGCAUGGUUUUCCAUGUCCCACCACCUACCUGUUGGUCAUGGACCUAACCUGCCAUAUGUGAAAACCUACCAAAUAUGAUAACAUCAACAAGGUGGUGAAGCAGGUGCCAGAGGUCCCCCACAAGGGCAUCCUAAGCUACACUGAGCACCAAGUUGCCUCCUUUUAAUCCAAAAGUGACACCUUCUCUUCCACCUUUGACGCAGGGACUGGCAUUGCUUUCAACAACCACUGUGCCAAGCUCAUUUUUUUUUUUUUUUGGUAUGACAAUGAAUUUGGAUAUACAAACAGCCUGAUAGACCUUGUGACCUACAUGGCCUCCAAGGAGUAA
rnacentral:lncRNA from 1 species